AGAGCGAACGCUGGCGGCAGGCCUAAUACAUGCAAGUCGAACGGAUCCUUCGGGAUUAGUGGCGGACGGGUGAGUAACACGUGGGAACGUGCCCUUUGGUUCAGAACAACUCAGGGAAACUUGAGCUAAUACUGGAUAAGCCCUUCGGGGGAAAGAUUUAUCGCCAUUGGAGCGGCCCGCGUCUGAUUAGCUAGUUGGUAGGGUAAAGGCCUACCAAGGCUACGAUCAGUAGCUGGUCUGAGAGGAUGAUCAGCCACACUGGGACUGAGACACGGCCCAGACUCCUACGGGAGGCAGCAGUAGGGAAUCUUGCGCAAUGGGCGAAAGCCUGACGCAGCCAUGCCGCGUGAAUGAUGAAGGUCUUAGGAUUGUAAAAUUCUUUCAGCGGGACGAUAAUGACGGUACCGCAGAAGAGCCCGGCUAACUUCGCGCCAGCAGCCGC
rnacentral:rRNA from 1 species